rnacentral:lncRNA from 1 species
UGCAGAAUACGACUCGAUUGAGACCCUCCAACGUGCCGGCUGAUCCCUGUACCAACUCCAUCGGGCUCAGAGUAUCGGUUCUCACGUGUGCGCCUGGAAACGGCCUUAACCUCAUCUUGAUCCCAGUAUGCCUUGAGUCCCGUCCAAAAGGUGUCGGACAUGCCCAGCGGUGUCUCCAUCAUCUCCCCUACCUCGGUCUUCUCCUUGAGCUGUCUCUUAUACUCGCUCAUGUUGUCACUGUACCUUUUGCGGGCAUUUUUUAACCAUAUUUUUUUCACAUCAGCCUCAUCAUCAGGGUUCCAAGCAAACUCUUUCUGUUGAAUAUAUUGGUUAAAUUAAUAUAACAUUUCAAC